GUUCUAAGUGGACGAGGUACAUUUUCACAGUGAAUAAUGGCUCUUACAGGGCAGAUGAUCUCUCUGCUCCACCCUCUGGUCAUCCCACCCUCUCCGCUCCACUCUCAGCAGAGAAGAUGAGAGAGGAAGAGAUCUCUCCACUCCACCCUCUGGUCGUCCCACCCUCUCCUCUCCACUCUUAGCAGAGAAGAUGAGAGAGGAAGGGAUCUCUCCACUCCACCCUCUGGUCGUCCCACCCUCUCCUCUCCACUCUCAGCAGAGAAGAUGAGAGAGGAAGGGAUCUCUCCACUCCACCCUCUGGUCGUCCCACCCUCUCCUCUCCACUCUCAGCAGAGAAGAUGAGAGAGGAAGGGAUCUCUCCACUCCACCCUCUGGUCGUCCCACCCAAGGCUGUAACUGGGGUUUUGAGUUUAAGUAUGGUUCUGGAAGGGUGAAGCUCAUUACCUUGAAAUGCUAUUUGGAGAACAACACAUCAUUAACCCAUCGGCUGCUUCAUUCACCUCAGGCCAUCUGCAAACACCUAGCCCAUUAGCUAUACAGUUGUAAUGUGAUACCUCUGAAAGGGGGGAGAUAUGAGAAAUGAUUCACACUGACACGUAGCAUCAGCGACAAACUGAAAAUGUCUGACGUUUUUAGAGUUGUGUUGGUUACAUUUUAAUGUUGGACGAUAUGGAAGAAAGGCCAUGUGGAGACGUUCAUAUUUAUUUUUUGCUUGUUCGAUAAGGGCUAGUACAGAUUUUCUCACGGGGCUCCUGACCCCAAGUUUGGGAACCACUGUACUAACCUCUCUGUCUGCUUACUCUCCGUCUGCCUCCUCUUCUUCUUUCUCCUGAAUGCAUUGUAGUCUGCCUCAGCCUCAUCACUGAGUGCAACAUCACUGUCUGUCUCAGUAGCCUGCUCUCUGUAGAGUAAAGUUACUAUGAAAACUUAGUAGCCUAUUUUUUUGCUCCUGAUGAGGUAGGCUUUGUUUAAUGUUAGCUUCUUACUUCAUCUUUCUAGCUGGCUCAGUAAUACUAGCCAGACACCUUCAACGUUACUGCCGGCAGACUGACAGAUCUAUAAGCGACAAUUUAUCAGUUGUGCACUCAUUCUCUGACAGCCGGUUUUUGUUUGUUUGUCUUUAGACACGACAGGAGUCACGGGACUGUUCUAACAUGGCCAGAGACAGAGACAGAGACAGACCAGAGAUGGAGACAGACCAGAGAUGGAGACAGAUACACAGACAGAGACAGAGACAGAGCAGAGAUGGAGACAGAGACAGAGAUGGAGACAGACCAGAGAUGGAGACAGACCAGAGAUGGAGACAGAGACACAGAGACAGAGACAGACCAGAGAUGGAGAGAGAGACACAGAGACAGACCAGAGACAGACCAGAGACAGAGACAGAGACAGAGACAGACCAGAGACAGAGACAGACCAGAGACAGAGACAGACCAGAGACAGACCAGAGACAGAGACCAGAGACAGAGACAGACCAGAGACAGACCAGAGACAGACCAGAGACAGACAGACCAGAGACAGAGACAGACCAGAGACAGAGACAGACCAGAGACAGACCAGAGACAGACCAGAGACAGACAGACCAGAGACAGACCAGAGACAGAGACAGAGACAGACCAGAGACAGACCAGAGACAGUCCAGAGACAGAGACAGUCCAGCGACAGAGACAGACCAGAGAUAGAGACAGACCAGAGAUAGAGACAGACCAGAGAUAGAGACAGACCAGAGACAGAGACAGACCAGAGACAGAGACAGACCAGAGACAGACCAGAGACAGACCAGAGACAGAGACAAGACAGAGACAGACCAGAGACAGACCAGAGACAGAGACAGACCAGAGACAGAGACAGACCAGAGACAGACCAGUGAUAGAGACAGCUCUGUGACACACACAUACUUGUCCCCUUUAGAAAGACAGCCCUUAUUGAGUCACCUCUGGUUUAAGGCUGAAUCUCUGUAGGCCCAACACAAGGCUGUGGGUUUCACCAGGGUUUGAUACUUAACCAAUCAUUAAUGGAGUUCUUCAGAAGCAGAAACCAAAUAUUUCUACUCUACGAUCAAAAGCCUUCAUCAAAUCCACCACAGUGGUGCAAUAGAGUAACAUACUUUAAUGAAAGGGCUCUUACUCAGACAAGACUAAACGGGUAAGCAAACCCACAACAACCCACUCUCACGGGACUUAAGAUCGGUUUUUAUUCCGGAGCUCUUUUUCACACCCAUUUUUGUUUUAAAAUCAAUGAUUAUACUGUCUGUAUGAGGGCACUUACACUAUAUAUACAAAAGUAUGUGGACACCCCUUCAAAUUAGUGGAUUUGACUAUUUCGGCCACACCCGUUGCUGACAGGUGUAUAAAAUCGAGCACACAGCCAUGCAAUCUCCAUAGACAAACAUUGGCAGUAGAAUGGUCUUACUGAAGAGCUCAUUGACUUUCAACGUGGCACCUUCAUGUGAUGCCACCUUUUCAACAAGUCAGUUCGUCAAAUUUCUGCCCUGCUAGAGCUGCCCCGGUCAACUGUAAGUGCUGUUAUUGUGAAGUGGAAACGUCUAGGAGCAACAACGGCUCAGCCGCGAAGUGGUAGGCCACACAAGCUCACAGAACGGGAACAUCGAGUGCAGCAGCGCAAAGAGAGUAAAAAUCCACAUCUCACUACUGAGUUCCAAACUGCCUCUGGAAGCAACAUCAGCACAAGAACUGUUAGUCAGGGACUUCAGCAGUGUCUCACACAAGCCUAAGAUCACCGUGCGUAACGCCAAACAUCGUCUGGAGUGGUGGAAAGCUCACCGACAUUGGACUCUGGAGCAGUGGAAACGUGUUCUCUGGAGUGAUGAAUCACGCUUCACCAUCUGGCAGUACGACGGACGGAUCUGGAAUUGAAAUGCAGACUACGAGCCAGGCCUAAUCGCCCAACAUCAGUGCCUGACCUCACUAAUGCUCUUGUGGCUGAAUGGAAACAAGUCCCGACAGCAAUGUUCCAUCAUCUAGUGGAAAGCCUUCCCAGCAGAGUGGAGGCUGUUAUAGCAGCAAAGGGGGACCAACUCCAUAUUAAUGCCCAUGAUUUUGGAAUGAGAUGUUAGACGAGGAGGUGUCCACAUGCUUUUGUUCAUGUAGUGUGUCAUGCCUUGAUCUUUGUCUUUACUCUGACUAAUGUUUUGAACCUGGGACAUGGCAGGUAUUGUGUUUACCAGCUUGGAUUCUGUCAACAUUUAUCUAUGUCUGGCUAAGCCAAACAAAUCAGCAGAAAACACUAACUGGCCUGCUAAGGCCUGACCUGGCCUACAGUCAGCGGAAAACACAACUGGCCUGCCAAGGCCUGACCUGGCCUACAGUCAGUAACGCUGUUCAAAUUCUGCUGGGUUUAGUCAUAAACCAACCAGCAGGCUCAAUACUCUAACACACUGAGUGACACUGUUGGAAUGGACUGCUAAUGAUGACUUGAAACAUAAAUACAGAAGAUAGAUUUAAAAAGAGAGAGGAGAGAGAAAAUCGAUUAGAAAGAGAGCGAAAGACAGAAGAUAGAUCAGAAAGAGAGAGAAGAUAUGUUAGAAGACAGAGAAGAUAGAUCAGAAAGCGAGAGAAGCAGGGAUUGUGUAGCUAGCAAUUAAUAAAAAAUAAUGAUCAGGCCUAAUUACUUCCCUUUGUUUUUGUUAGUAUUUUUCAUUUUGUUCAUAUUUAACGGUAUAAUGGCGUGAUUAAAAUUGCAGACGUGCCGUAAUUAAUAGCAAACACUGCUUGUGGUGGUGUGCCUUCAUUUGUUCAUUUGUGUGUGUGUGUGUGUGUGUGUGUGUGUGUGUGUGUGUGCACCCGUGGAAAGAGUCUGAGGUGUAAAAGAUAGAUUGUUUAUGUCACACAGACAGAGAUGAAAAGAGACAAAGGUUGCUCACAGGCCAAGCUACCAUCAGGUCAAGAAAACUCAGCUGCCAGUGAGAAUGAAAGAAAGAGAGAGAGAAAGAAAGGCCUCUAUUUCAACUAACCUAACGCAAUGGUAAAUCUAAGCGCAGGCGGUAAUGUUAUAUAGGUUCAAGGAUGCAUCAGAAUUGUUGUUUUUUUGUUGCUAUUUUUAGUAUCACAUGUAUCGGUGCACGUGUUGACGUUGGUGAAAUUAAUAAACAACUUUGAAGAAUAU
ensembl:lncRNA